GGGGAUGUGGCUGUGUGGGCACUCUAUCUUUACUGCUUUGUUUCUUUUUAGUUUGUCUUUGUCGUUUUGAGUCUUGUUUGCUUUGUUGAGAAGUUGUCAGUCUUGUUUUUGUUUGUCGCUCUGUGUUGAUACCUUGGUGAAAAGAUGAGAUGUGCAUGGUUUAGUUGGAUGACUGGCCUAUGAUGAUUUCUGUUUUAAAAUGGUAAAACUGCAUGUGUUUGUGUUGACAUUGUUGAGAUUGAGCAUGAUUGAUAAAUGAUAAGCAUGGUCUUUAAUGUGUUCGCAAUCAAUGAAAUAAGCUGUGAGAUUUGAGCCUUGACUGUCACUAUUUUCCACAGUCUUAUUUCUGUUUCCUGAGUGAUUGUUCAAGCAUGCUUGUUUCUCGCUAGAACUUGUCUUGGUUUCUCCCUCGAGGUCACAUAGUGUGCUUAAUAACUGAGAGAUGAUAGAAGGCCAUCUUUGCUAGCCCAUAUAUCCCAUACUUGUCCUUUUACUCUAUAUGAUCCUAGUUUCGCCCCUUUGAGCUUUUAUUAUCCAUUUUAUUUGGUUUAGCCGUGGGUGGGAACUUGGAGUUUGUUGCUAUGGGAAUGUUGGUUUGUGGAGGUGUGUGAUCAUGAUUUAUGAACUUUGUCU
rnacentral:lncRNA from 1 species